rnacentral:rRNA from 1 species
GGUCUCAAGCGUUGUUCGGAUCCAUUGGGCGUAAAGGGCGUGUAGGCGGUCCGCUAAGUCUGAUGUGAAAGCCCGGGGCUCACCCCCGGAAGUGCAUUGGAAACUGGCGAACUCGAGUCCCGGAGAGGAGAGUGGAAUUCCUGGUGUAGCGGUGAAAUGCGUAGAUAUCAGGAGGAACACCGGUGGCGAAGGCGGCUCUCUGGACGGUGACUGACGCUGAGACGCGAAAGCGUGGGGAGCAAACAGG